CACUGUGACGGUNUCUUACCAGAAAGGGACGGCUAACUACGUGCCAGCAGCCGCGGUAAUACGUAGNUCCCGAGCGUUGUCCGGAUUUAUUGGGCGUAAAGCGAGCGCAGGCGGUUAGAUAAGUNUGAAGUUAAAGGCUGUGGCUUAACCAUAGUACGCUUUGGAAACUGUUUAACUUGAGUGCAGAAGGGGAGAGUGGAAUUCCAUGUGUAGCGGUGAAAUGCGUAGAUAUAUGGAGGAACACCGGUGGCGAAAGCGGCUCUCUGGUCUGUAACUGACGCUGAGGCUCGAAAGCGUGGGGAGCGAACAGGAUUAGAUACCCUGGUAGUCCACGCCGUAAACGAUGAGUGCUAGGUGUUAGGCCCUUUCCGGGGCUUAGUGCCGCAGCUAACGCUUUAAGCACUCCGCCUGGGGAGUACGACCGCAAGGUUGAAACUCAAAGGAAUUGACGGGGGCCCGCACAAGCGGUGGAGCAUGUGGUUUAAUUCGAAGCAACGCGAAGAACCUUACCAGUCUUGACAUCCCGAUGCCCGCUCUAGAGAUAGAGUUUUACUUCGGUACAUCGGUGACAGGUGGUGCAUGGUUGUCGUCAGCUCGUGUCGUGAGAUGUUGGGUUAAGUCCCGCAACGAGCGCAACCCUUAUUGUUAGUUGCCAUCAUUCAGUUGGGCACUCUAGCGAGACUGCCGGUAAUAAACCGGAGGAAGGUGGGGAUGACGUCAAAUCAUCAUGCCCCUUAUGACCUGGGCUACACACGUGCUACAAUGGCUGGUACAACGAGUCGCAAGUCGGUGACGGCAAGCUAAUCUCUUAAAGCCAGUCUCAGUUCGGAUUGUAGGCUGCAACUCGCCUACAUGAAGUCGGAAUCGCUGGUAAUCGCGGAUCAGCACGCCGCGGUGAAUACGUUCCCGGGCCUUGUACACACCGCCCGUCACACCACGAGAGUUUGUAACACCCGAAGUCGGUG
rnacentral:rRNA from 1 species